rnacentral:lncRNA from 1 species
ACUAUUUUUGUGUUGAAAUUUUUUUUUUUUUUUUUUUAACUUACACGCUUUGGAUACCUCGAUGGGAGCAGUGAUGGUAUCAAUAUACGCCAAUGCAUUUAUGUAUGAGUUUGAAAUGGAACAAAUUCUAGAUCGUGUGAAAAAAAAAAAAUUGUCUUAGUAUAAACUGUGUGGAUGACGUCUUCCCUCAUUUGGUGAGAUACGAAGCAAGCUCUUAAAAUUUUGGUAGACAGAAUAAAUGAUCAACCACAACCAAUCCGUUUGACCCUGAUACACAGUCUUUAAAGCAUGCAAUUUUUAGACGUAGAAUGAUACAGAAAGUAACGCAAACUUAGUUAUAACUUGUUUUGAGAAACCUAUGGAUCGUAAUUCAUUUCUACAAGCCCACAGUUUCCAUCCACGCACCUCAAGGAAUCUAUUACUAUUUCUCAAUUUUUAAGAGUAUGGAGAAUUAAUUCAGAUACAUUUUUGGCAGGGGAACAAAUUGACCAGACGACUAAUAGAUUCCUUACAAGAAGCUACUCAUCAAGCAUAUUAGAGACAGCCAAUAAUGGAGUAUUCCAAAUUAUACCGUGUCAAGUUCAUCCACAGGCAAAGACAGAACAAAGAAUAAUUAUACCAUAAACAUGUCAUGCUGCAUCAUCCACAAACAUUGGAAUAUGUUGUUAAUUGAUCCUAUGUUACCUGAUAUUUUAGGACAACUCUAAUCAUUAGCUAUAAACGAGGUAAAAAUAUUAUAGACUUGGUAGUUCACAGAGAAGUUAUAAGGACAAUAAGAUCAUAAAGCAUGGAUGUUUCAAAUGCCUUUGAAAUGUGACAUAUGAUGUCUGGGAAUUCAUAUGUUAUUAUUAUUAUUUUAAUAUUUAUGUAGCACCAUCACAUUCCGUAGCGCUGUACAAUGGGUGGACUAACAGACAUGUAAUUUUAACCAGACAGUUGGACGUACAGGAACGGAGAGGUGGAGGGCCCUGCUCAAUGAGCUUACAUUCCAGAGGGAGAGGGAUAUAGUGACACAAAGGGUAAAAGUAGGGGUAUGAAGUAGGUUGUUAGAAAAGUAUUCAUUGAGGGUUUAGUAGGUAAUGUUAACCCCACAUGGGAAAAAGAUACACAAUUAGACAUCACAUUACCUGUUUGACAGAUUUUGUUAUCACUUGCCCAUGUGGUUUUUCAUAUAAUGUAAAGACUGACCUCAUGGUAAGGAUUGAAUGAGAGGUUACAGGUCAGCAUUUACCACUGCGUUUUGUGAUGGAAGGACGGAUAAACAUUUAGCUAAACAUUAUUAGGCACUCCAACACAGACUUAUAACGUUAAAAUGUAUUGCUUUAGACCAUGUUCUACUUUGAUACGAAGUGGAAACCACGCCCAAGUAGUGGUUUAGAGGGAUUGGACAGAGUUGGUCCGAACGGCUUGAAUGAACUUUCUGCUUUAACAUCAUAUUUAACAGAACGUUAAUACCAUAGCUGCUUUCCUUUCUAUUUCAAUUAAAAGCUUAAAGGAACACUAUAGGGUCAGGAAUACAAACAAGUAUUCCUGAAGCUAUAGUUGUAUAAUUACAGUUUAGGGUCCCGGCCCCCCUCUGCUUAUUUUAAAAAGGUGUUUUACUCACCUUUUUUCUAGCGAGCACCAAUCUUGUUGCGGCUCACCCCAACCCGCCUCAUUGGCAGAGAUCAACAAACUUGACAAUCUCAGCCAAUCUAAUGCUUUCCCCUAGGAAAGUAUUGGGAUGCUAUUGCAAAUAAUACCGGCGGCGCCCAUCAGUAUCUCUUCAUAUAGAUGCAUUGAAUCUAUACAUCUCUAUGGCAUUUCCCAUUGCAUUAAUUUAAUGCAUCUCUAUGCAGAACGUGGAGACGCUGAACAACAGAGCUGCACAUUGUGAAGCACUGACCCAGGAAGCACCUCUAAUGGCUGUCUGAGUGACUGCCACUAGAUGUGUUCUUAGGCAGUAAUGUAAAUACUGCCUUUUUACAUAAAAAAGACAAGAACAAAUACAUAAAGCUGCAGGAGUUCUGGUGACUAUAGUGUCCUUUUACAAAUAAAUAUGAAUACCACACUCUAGUCAUAUAUAUGACAAAAAAUGAAUAAAAAAAGCAAUUAUUUUAUUGUUACCUUAACCUACUUUUAAAUAUGAGUG